UACGUAGGGGGCAAGCGUUGUCCGGAUUUAUUGGGCGUAAAGAGCGUGUAGGCGGCCUGAAAGGUCAGCUGUGAAAACUCGAGGCUCAACCUCGAGACGUCGGUUGAAACCAUCUGGCUAGAGUCCGGAAGAGGAGAGUGGAAUUCCCGGUGUAGCGGUGAAAUGCGCAGAUAUCGGGAAGAACACCCGUGGCGAAGGCGGCUCACUGGACGCGUAUUGACGCUGAGGUGCGAAAGCGUGGGGAGCAAACAGG
rnacentral:rRNA from 1 species